AACGAACGCUGGCGGCGUGCCUAACACAUGCAAGUCGAACGAGAAACCCCGGGCUUGCUCGGGGGAGUAAAGUGGCGCACGGGUGAGUAACACGUGGGUAACCUGCCCCAAGGACGGGGAUAACUGGCCGAAAGGCCCGCUAAUACCGGAUAAGACCACAUGAGCUUCGGCUCAAGGGGUUAAAGUCGGCCUCUCGAAGAAGCCGGCACCAUGGGAUGGGCCCGCGGACCAUUAGCUUGUUGGUAGGGUAACGGCCUACCAAGGCUGAGAUGGUUAGCUGGUCUGAGAGGAUGAUCAGCCACACUGGAACUGAGAUACGGUCCAGACUCCUACGGGUGGCAG
rnacentral:rRNA from 1 species